UACGUAGGGGGCAAGCGUUGUCCGGAUUUAUUGGGCGUAAAGAGCGUGUAGGCGGCCAUACAGGUCCGUUGUGAAAACUGGAGGCUCAACCUUCAGAGGUCGACCCAAACCCCCUGGCUAGAGUCCGGAAGAGGAGAGUGGAAUUCCUGGUGUAGCGGUGAAAUGCGCAGAUAUCAGGAAGAACACCCGUGGCGAAGGCGGCUCUCUGGGACGGUACUGACGCUGAGACGCGAAAGCGUGGGGAGCGAACAGG
rnacentral:rRNA from 1 species